rnacentral:rRNA from 1 species
UACGUAGGGGGCUAGCGUUGUCCGGAAUCAUUGGGCGUAAAGAGCGUGUAGGCGGUCCGGUAAGUCCGUUGUGAAAGUCAAGGGCUCAACCCUUGAAUGCCGGCGGAUACUGUCGGGCUAGAGUCCGGAAGAGGCAAGUGGAAUUCCCGGUGUAGCGGUGAAAUGCGCAGAUAUCAGGAGGAACACCGGUGGCGAAGGCGGGUCUCUGGGCCGAUACUGACGCUGAGGAGCGAAAGCGUGGGGAGCGAACAGG